GAUGAACGCUGGCGGCGUGCCUAAUACAUGCAAGUCGAGCGAACAGACGAGGAGCUUGCUCCUCUGACGUUAGCGGCGGACGGGUGAGUAACACGUGGAUAACCUACCUAUAAGACUGGGAUAACUUCGGGAAACCGGAGCUAAUACCGGAUGAUAUAUUGAACCGCAGGGUUCAAUAGUGAAAGACGGUUUUGCUGUAUCUUCUAGAUGGAUCCGCGCCGCAUUAGCUAGUUGGUAAGGUAACGGCUUACCAAGGCAAGGAUGCGUGGCCGACCUGAGAGGCUGAUCGGCCACCCUGGAACUGAGACACCGUCCAUACUCCUACGGGAGGCAGCAGUAGGCAAUCUUCCGCAAUGGGCGAAAGCCUGACGGAGCAGCGCCGCGUGAGUGAUGAAAGCCUUCGGAUCGUAAAACUCUGUUAUUAGGGAAGAACAACUGUGUAAGUAACUAUGCACGUCUUGACGGUACCUAAUCAGAAAGCCCCGGCUAACUACGUG
rnacentral:rRNA from 1 species